rnacentral:rRNA from 1 species
UUUUAUGAGAGUUUGAUCCUGGCUCAGGACGAACGCUGGCGGCGUGCCUAAUACAUGCAAGUCGAACGCUUCUUUUUCCAACGGAGCUUGCUCCACCGGAAAAAGAAGAGUGGCGAACGGGUGAGUAACACGUGGGUAACCUGCCCAUCAGAAGGGGAUAACACUUGGAAACAGGUGCUAAUACCGUAUAACAAUCAAAACCGCAUGGUUUUGAUUUGAAAGGCGCUUUCGGGUGUCGCUGAUGGAUGGACCCGCGGUGCAUUAGCUAGUUGGUGAGGUAACGGCUCACCAAGGCCACGAUGCAUAGCCGACCUGAGAGGGUGAUCGGCCACAUUGGGACUGAGACACGGCCCAAACUCCUACGG